UUGCCGGUGAAAGUCUGGCACGGGUAAUUUCCAAGAAGCCCGUUAGCUAAUCCCGGUGCGUCACGGUAAUGUGAGGUGCUGAGCGGGAGGAUAAAGUACCUGCCUAAACAGCAGGGCGAGCGAAAAUGCAGACCGUAACAUCA
rnacentral:ncRNA from 1 species